rnacentral:rRNA from 1 species
CAGCAGCCGCGGUAAAACGUAGGGUGCGAGCGUUAAUCGGAAUUACUGGGCGUAAAGCGUGCGCAGGCGGCUUUGCAAGACAGAUGUGAAAUCCCCGGGCUCAACCUGGGAACUGCAUUUGUGACUGCAAGGCUAGAGUGCGGCAGAGGGAGAUGGAAUUCCGCGUGUAGCAGUGAAAUGCGUAGAUAUGCGGAGGAACACCGAUGGCGAAGGCAAUCUCCUGGGACCGAACUGACGCUCAUGCACGAAAGCGUGGGGAGCAAACAGGAUUAGAUACCCCAGUAGUCCCUGUCUCUUAUAC